UACGUAGGUGGCGAGCGUUGUCCGGAAUUACUGGGUGUAAAGGGCGUGUAGGCGGGGAAGCAAGUUGGAUGUGAAAUCCCGGGGCUCAACUCCGGAGUUGCAUCUGAAACUGUUUUUCUUGAGUGCUGGAGAGGAAAGCGGAAUUCCUAGUGUAGCGGUGAAAUGCGUAGAUAUUAGGAGGAACACCAGUGGCGAAGGCGGCUUUCUGGACAGUAACUGACGCUGAGGCGCGAAAGCGCGGGGAGCGAACAGGAUUAGAUACCCUGGUAGUCCCU
rnacentral:rRNA from 1 species